UACAGAGGUCUCAAGCGUUGUUCGGAUUCAUUGGGCGUAAAGGGCGCGUAGGCGGUCAGCACAAGUCAGUUGUGAAAUCUCCGGGCUUAACUCGGAAAGGUCAACUGAUACUGUGCGGCUAGAGUGCAGAAGGGGCAACUGGAAUUCUCGGUGUAGCGGUGAAAUGCGUAGAUAUCGAGAGGAACACCUGCGGCGAAGGCGGGUUGCUGGGCUGACACUGACGCUGAUGCGCGAAAGCCAGGGGAGCGAACGGG
rnacentral:rRNA from 1 species